GAUGAACGCUGGCGGCGUGCCUAAUACAUGCAAGUCGAGCGAACAGACGAGGAGCUUGCUCCUCUGACGUUAGCGGCGGACGGGUGAGUAACACGUGGAUAACCUACCUAUAAGACUGGGAUAACUUCGGGAAACCGGAGCUAAUACCGGAUCAUAUAUUGAACCGCAUGGUUCAAUAGUGAAAGACGGUUUUGCUGUCACUUAUAGAUGGAUCCGCGCCGCAUUAGCUAGUUGGUAAGGUAACGGCUUACCAAGGCGACGAUGCGUAGCCCCCCUGAAAGGGUGGAUGGACACCCGGCAAGUGAGACACGGCCCCGACUUCUACGGGAGGAAGCAGUAGGAAAUCUUGCGCAAUGGGCGAGAGCCUAACAGAGCAAAACCGCGUGAGUGAUGAAGGUCCUCGGAUCGUAAAACGAUGUUAUUAGGGAAGAACAAAAGUGUAAGUAACUAUGCACGUCUUGACGGUACCUAAUCAAAAAGCCCCGGCUAACUACGUG
rnacentral:rRNA from 1 species